AGGAUGGUAGUUAAUUAUAACAUUUGAAUUGCACUCAAAAAGUAUUGAAUUUUCAAUCUAUCUUG
rnacentral:tRNA from 1 species